GGGCCGUUAGCUCAGUUGGUAGAGCAAUCGCCUCUUAAGCGAAUGGUCAUAGGUUCAAAUCCUGUACGGCCCA
rnacentral:tRNA from 1 species